rnacentral:tRNA from 1 species
UCCCUGGUGGCUCAGUAGGUAAAGCAUCUGCCUGAAACGCAGGAGACCCGAGUUUGAUUCCUGGGUUGGAAA